CGCAGACUGGUGGGAAUGGCUUAUUUCAAUGCUGUCUGUGGGACAUUGAAUGACUUUUAACAGAGCUGGUGGAUAGCUGUUCCAUUAUUUUAUCUCUCUAGAAAGGUGUCAAUUUAGCUUGAACAUGGAGUCUCUAAUCCCCGUUAUAAACAAGCUUCAAGAUGUCUUCAAUACGGUGGGCGCAGACAUAAUACAGCUGCCGCAGAUAGCAGUCGUUGGAACCCAGAGCAGUGGGAAGAGCUCUGUGUUGGAGAGCCUGGUUGGCAAGGACAUGCUGCCCCGUGGGACAGGUGUAGUGACCCGCCGGCCACUCAUCCUACAGCUAGUCCAUGUGGAUCCUGGAGAUGGCAGAAAAAUGAAAGAUGAGAAUGGCGUGGAAGGAGAUGAAUGGGGCAAGUUCUUACACACCAAAAACAAGAUCUACCCAGACUUCAGUGAAAUCAGGCAGGAAAUCGAAAAUGAAACGGAAAGAAUUUCCGGUAUUAACAAGGGGAUCAGCGAUGAGCCUAUUCACUUGAAGAUUUUCUCUCCUAAUGUGGUGAACCUCACUCUGGUGGAUCUACCCGGCAUCACCAAGGUCCCAGUGGGCGACCAGCCCCAAGACAUAGAGGUGCAGAUCAGAGAGCUGAUCCUGAAGCACAUCUCCAACCCCAACUCCAUCAUCCUGGCUGUGACCGCUGCCAACACAGACAUGGCCACCUCAGAGGCCCUCAAAGUGGCCCGUGAGGUCGAUCCCGACGGCAGGAGGACACUGGCGGUGGUGACUAAGCUGGACUUGAUGGACGCUGGUACUGAUGCUAUGGACGCCCUGCUGGGCCGGGUCAUCCCUGUCAAACUGGGCCUCAUCGGAGUGGUCAACAGGAGUCAGUUGGACAUCAACAAUAAGAAGUCGGUGAGCGAUGCCAUCCGAGAUGAACAUGCUUUCCUGCAGAAGAAGUAUCCCUCUCUCGCUAAUCGAAAUGGAACCAAGUAUCUGUCCAGGACCCUGAACAGGUUACUGAUGCACCACAUCAGAGACUGUCUACCGGAGCUGAAAACGCGUAUCAACGUGCUGGCGGCCCAGUACCAGUCUCUGUUGAGCAGCUACGGCCAGCCCGUUGAGGACCAGAAUGCCACCCUUCUGCAGCUCAUAACCAAAUUCGCUGCAGAGUACUGCCACACUAUCGAGGGCACUGCCAAGUACAUUGAGACGGCCGAGCUAUGCGGCGGUGCCAGAAUCUGUUACAUAUUUCACGAGACUUUUGGGCGAACAUUAGAGUCAGUGGAUCCCCUAGGAGGACUCAACACCAUAGACAUCCUGACCGCCAUCAGGAACGCCACUGGCCCUCGCCCGUCUCUGUUUGUGCCCGAGGUGUCGUUCGAGCUGCUGGUGAAGAAGCAGGUGAAGAGACUGGAGGAGCCCAGCCUGCGCUGUGUAGAGCUGGUCCAUGAGGAGAUGCAGAGGAUCAUCCAACACUGCAGCAACUACAGCACACAGGAGUUGUUGAGAUUUCCAAAGCUCCAUGAUGCCAUAGUAGAAGUGGUCACCUCUCUGCUCAGGAAAAGGCUGCCUAUCACCAAUGAGAUGGUGCAUAAUCUGGUGGCCAUAGAGCUGGCCUACAUCAACACCAAACACCCAGACUUUGCUGAUGCCUGUGGGGUCAUGAACAACAACAUAGAGGAGUCGAGGAGAAACCGAAUGAGAGAGCUGCCCGCUGCCGUCCCCAGGGAUAAGUCAGUAGUUAAUGGUCCAGUCGGCCAGCCUCCCAUUCCUACCGAGCCCCCUGCCUCUGUGGACGCGGAGGGUGCCAAGCCUCCCGGAGCAGGGCCCCAGGGGGACCAGGAGGGGACAGGGAACUGGAGAGGCAUGCUGAAGAAAGGGGAUGAAGGGGCCCCCGGCUCUGGCCCCGCCAGCCCCCAUAAGGGCCUUGCCGUCAACCUGCUGGACGUGCCCGUUCCUGUUGCCAGGAAGUUGUCUUCUCGGGAGCAGCGUGACUGUGAGGUCAUCGAGAGACUCAUCAAGUCUUACUUUCUCAUCGUCCGGAAAAACAUCCAAGACAGCGUGCCUAAGGCAGUGAUGCACUUCCUGGUGAACCAUGUGAAGGACAGUCUGCAGAGUGAGCUGGUGGGUCAGCUCUAUAAGUCUAGUCUUCUCAACGACCUGCUCACUGAGUCUGAGGACAUGGCCCAGAGACGCAAGGAGGCUGCAGACAUGCUAGAGGCUCUGCAGAAGGCCAGUCAGGUCAUUGCUGAGAUCAGAGAGACUCAUCUGUGGUAAGGAGGAGAAUUCCACUGAAGUCAAUCUGUAAUCUACUAAUCAUGUCUGGAAGACAGAAGGUGUGUGUCUACUUAUCAUGUCCGGAAGACUUGUGAUUUGCCAAUGUGAAAAUGCACUGUUGUGGUUCACGUAAGUGUGUUGAUUGAAACAUGGUACUGGCUCACAGCUAUGUUAAGGCUAAAUACAUAUCAUCGCUGAGCUGUAUAAGAAACUGAUACCUCAUUAAGGCAUAUCUGUACUGUGUAGUUAUAACCAAGAAUGUUUAUUAUUAUUAUUGUUUUUUAAAUUGAACCUUGAUUUAACUAGGCAAGUCAGUUAAGAACAAAUUCUUAUUUACAAUGGAGGCCUACCCCGGCCAGACCCGGACGACGCUGGGCCAAUUGUGUGCCGCCCUGUGGGACUCCCAAUCACGGCCGGAUGUGAUGCAUCCUGGAUUCGAACCAGAACAGCGCAAACUGGCUCUAACUGGGAGGCCCGGUACACAACUGAGCGAGAGGACAAGUACAUCAGAGUGUCUAGUUUGAGGAACAGAUGCCUCACAAGUCCUCAACUGGCAGCUUCAUUAAAUAGUACCCGCAAAACACCAGUCUCAAAGUCAGCAGUGAAGAGGCGACUCCGAGAUGCUGGCCUUCAAGGCAGGAAUGUUAACACACUCUCGAAGAAUAAGGGUACGGUUAGGGUACACAUAUGACCUCACAUGGUACAGUUCGGUACCUUGUAGGUAUAAUGGGACAUUUCUCCACCCAAUAUUUUGAAUAUAAGGUACAAUUCAAUGUGGGGCUCAUUUGCAUAUUGGUCAAAUAUAUGUGUAUUUGUGGCAGCCAUCAGUAGAAGUUUAAACAUUUGAUUGUUUUGCCAAUGUAAGUUGAGCACCUCCUUUGACAUGGCAAACUUUGUAAGAGGAUGUGUCGGUAAUGAGCUGCACUGUGAAGAGGUUAGUGUGCAUUUUCCAGUAACUUGAUGGCAGCUUGUUGCUGUGAAUUUGUCAUUUCUUAACUGAAAACCAUUUGUCAGUAAGUUAUUGUACGAUUCACAAUAACUUAACUGGCAAAACAUUGUCAGUAACCUACAGGCAACUUGCUGCCAACUAGCAUUACAUGCUAGUAACCUAUUGUGUCUUCACUGAAUCUUCUGUUGACAACAUCACUUGCUGAUUGGCAGCAUACUGUAACUGCAGCCUGUCAGAAUAUUGCAGGCUAGCUCUUUUUGGUCUCCCAUGAGAAGGAAUGUCGUCCCAGUUAAUGUGGUCUGCUGUGUUCUGUUCAUAAACACUAAGCUUGUGCGCUGUUGGUUAUCCAGUCUUAACAAAUGCUAACAUAAGUGCACGUG